AGAAACCAUUGCCGUACAUCAUAUCAGUACCAUCAAUGCCCAUAGGUGCCACUCUUCAAGAAAGUGCACCAAUGGCAGUGACAGAAGACAGCGGUCAAAUAGACAAAGGCAGAGGUGCAGAUAGCAUUGAAAAUCUUCUAGUUCAACAGAAUCAGCUCCUCAGUGAAAUACUCCAACAACAAAAAAUUACUAAUGAGUUAAUGAUAAAUUUCUACACUUUGAAGGCAUAAAUAUAUGACAUGAAUACUUUAU